GACGAACGCUGGCGGCGUGCUUAACACAUGCAAGUCGAACGGAAAGGCCCUGCUUUUGUGGGGUGCUCGAGUGGCGAACGGGUGAGUAACACGUGAGUAACCUGCCCUUGACUUUGGGAUAACUUCAGGAAACUGGGGCUAAUACCGGAUAGGAGCUCCUGCUGCAUGUUGGGGGUUGGAAAAUUUCGGCGGUUGGGAAUGGACUCGCGGCUUAUCCGCUUGUUGGGGGGGUAGUGGCUUACCAGGGCUUUGACGGGUGGCCGGCCUGAGAGGGUGACCGGCAAAAUGGGGAUGGGGUACGGGCCAGAAUGCUACGGGAGGCAGCAGUGGGGAAUAUUGCACAAUGGGCGGAAGCCUGAUGCAGCAACGCCGCGUGCGGGAUGACGGCCUUCGGGUUGUAAACCGCUUUCGCCUGUGACGAAGCGUGAGUGACGGUAAUGGGUAAAGAAGCACCGGCUAACUACGUG
rnacentral:rRNA from 1 species